rnacentral:tRNA from 1 species
AAGCAAUCGCCGGAGGAUCGGGAAUCAUUGAUGUUGAUUAAUAUAGAAAGUAGAUUUUCUAUUGCUUU